UGCCCAGCAGCUCCUAUCCCUACCUCCUCGUGAUACUGGCUAGGGUACGAGUAAACUUAGUGAAGUUCGGGUAACCAACCCCGGUGGGAAAUAUGGUCAUAUGCUGAGAGGAGGGG
rfam:Aedes aegypti strain Liverpool supercont1.1290 genomic scaffold, whole genome shotgun sequence.